CAGUACAUUGGUAGCUGUUAAGCCACGGGCGGUAGCGUG
rnacentral:ncRNA from 1 species